rfam:Lysinibacillus manganicus DSM 26584 contig26, whole genome shotgun sequence.
CGCCACUUAUCGUCGAAAGCGCCACGUCCUGUGGCAUCGUCGAUAUGACCAACGUCGUGUUGG